AGUCAAACUGUUCAGUUGAGUGAAGACUUUGCUAAAACGUUCAUAAAGGAUUUGAAACUACAAAAACAACUGAAGCGACAUGAACAAGAGAUGCUGUCAGUCAGCUUCUCCCUGCACGGCAGAACAUGGCUGCAGGUCGAAGCUGCCAAAUCACGUCAUGUGCAUGGAGUCACAGUGAUACGGAGCCUUAUCUGGUCCUGGGUGACGUUAGCGGAGAGUUUGUGCAGCCGGAGCCUUGUUGCAUCACUGUGACGACUGAUGUGAAGCUCCGGGAGACUUCAUCGAUGUUGGGUUCAACCCCUCGACAGGCUGAAUCGGACUCUGUUUGAGUGAAAACAGAAGCAGCUUUCUGAGGCCAGGUCUGCAUAACCCCCCCCCCCCACCCCCCGUGUGGCGUCAAGAAGCUGCCUGUGUGCCGCCUGCUGAUUGUGGGUAAGGUAAAUAUGCGCUGUGCUCAUUAUGCCCCCUCCUCAUGUUCGCCUCGGCAACAAGAACUGAGUGUGAGGCCAAGAGGAGGCAUGAAACACAAGCUCUGUCUGAGAGACGCAGGUCUGACAGAGGUUCAGCCACAGGACAGCAGCGACCCGGCUCUGCUGAUGGUUUGGUUCGACACCUAACCCCCUAACCAAAUAUUAAAUUAUUUCAUAUUCAAACUAUUGUACAGACAUGUGUUGUUUUCUCAUCCUGACAUUUUCCAGGGCUAAUCAGCUUCACACGCUCAAUCUCUGACGACCCGUGACGUCAGCACUGUCAUGCAUUUCCCACAGUUCCCACCGGCAGGUACGGUCUGGAACAAAGUGGGGGUCAUCGGGUCUCUGCUUAUCUGUCCGAGUCUCCCGUCUCACAUGUGGACCCUAAGAUAGAGGCCGGGACAAAGGUUCAAUCUCACCCCUGGGAGGAGUCUGCUCUGUCCUCGGUCUCUUCUCUGCUGGCGCUUGUUGUCUUGCUCCACAUUUCCUCUUCCUCUGUAAACCGUAGAUCUACUGAUUGAAACACUGGCGCAGCGACAGUGAUGGUUCUGCAGCGAUUCCAUGUUUCCCACUACCACACCCUGAGCGUGUAUCAAGAUCAUUUCUUCAUGCUUGUGGAGCGUUACAAUUAUCUGUGGCGAUUUUAUUCACUUUUUAAUGUUCAUUCCAUCAGUGAUGAGAAAUAAGUCCUUGAAAUGCAUUUCCAGCUAGAUUCAGGAGAGAGGAUCUGCUCUUGAACUGCAGUGGGGUGAGGGUUCAUGUUAACUGUAUUCCUGCUUUUCUUCACAAAUGACCUUAAGGAGCAGCGCGUCCUCCCUCUGCUCUCACCCUGCAUCUCUGCUGAGAAUUGUCAGACAGGCAACACAAGAGGCCUCUGUGCGUUUCUCCUCAAGAGACGUCUGGUGGAGACGUAAGUUUUACCAGACACACUGUCCUCUCUGUCUCUCUUGGCUUCUUGUCAGCGUUUUGUGUCCUUGUGGAGGUUUGAUGGAUGUAUUAACACGUGUGGCUCUGUCACCACCUACGUCUCCUGAGGGUUAAACUUAUUUUUUCAUGGGUCCUGCGUUGCUGCAUUAUUGCAGUUACCAUCGGGAGCCCAGAAUUAAAAAUUAAGUGUUCAGAAUAUCCUCAUUUAAAUAUAUGAGAUGUGUCUUGCGCCUUUUUUGUGUAUGUUAUGUCUAAGCAACAAGCGCUAGGAGUUCAACUUUACUUUCUCUGUGUGAGAUGGACAAUACUAAACAUUAGCCAGUAGAUGUCAGUGUUGCCACUGUCUUUAGAAAAACUCAGUUGUUUCUUUUAUAUGAAGCUUUAGCAAAAUUUGAU